CUAAAGCUAACUCAUUUCAGGUAGUGCAACGUGAGACACAUCAUUUGGUGCUCCUGACACUGAGGUCUCACAACUGUGAAGGGGUGUCAUGUUCCCUGGUCUACCCAUCACUCAGGACAUCAAAUCCUGGGGCUCUCUUCACAAACAGACCUUGUAGAUUUCCGUGAUUCUGACAACUGUGUUGCAGCAGAUAGCAGCUGGUGGCUUUUCUAAUGCAUUGCAAAGGCAGUUCGGGCUGGUUGUGGAACAGAAAGUGCUGUGUGGGCCGGAUGACUGUUCUAGCCACGCGCUGUGGAGGGUGAGGUGCCUGCUACUCCCAUACUGUCACAUGUUGGUGUCAAGCCUGCAGGGCAGAGGCUAUGGAGCACCUGCCUCUACUGAGGUGGCCUGGCGGCAUCACCUGCUGAGCUGUCUGUACCAAGGCAGCUGAAGCCUACACAGAAACCUCCUUGUGCAACUCUCCACGUGAACCAGUCACUGGAACUGCGGUGCCCUGGGCGAGAGAUUAACGAGAUUUCACCAGAAUUCACUCACAAAAUUCCCUGCAGAUACACUGUGUUUUCCAUUCCACUGACGUGUAUCUUCUGCAGCAACCGCAUCCUGCUGGUUCCACAUGCAUCGUCAGAAGGUGAACCUGUGAGUCACAGCGAUGCUCCAGGCUCCACAUGUGAGCAAUCGUGCAAGCACCGACUCCUAGAGAUGGAAGAGGCCCAAGAGUGCCUGAUGCAAAAGUCCCUCUCCGGCACCCUGUUAGACAGUACUGCAGCGCAUGUUUGAAACGUAGGUUCAGAGCUGUGCCCUUGGAUGUCAUUAUCACUGUUGAUAAUUGUGCCCAGAACAACUCUCGGUGCCAUACACGCACACCGUCUGGAGCUGUGUGCCACAGCUUGUUCCCCUAUCUGAUGUCUGUGACUGAUAUUAUUCUCUAAGCACCAAGAAGACACUCAAGAAGAUGUUUAUGUCUUGAGUUGAAGACGUUUUACCUCUACCAAAGUGUCCCUGGAGAGUGCCCAAAGUCAAGUUUCAAAUUCUCUGUAAGAAUUAUUUUUAUGUCUUAUCUAACUGUAAUGGCCAAGCAGUUCCUCACCAGCGUCUUGAGUGCCUCCUCUGACAGAGAAAACAUUCCUUCUAUCUAUGACACCAUGGGAAAGGCAGCUCUUCCUCAUGUUGAGUCACAUACAGUCGAUUUGCUUGUGGCUUCCCCACAUUGGUCCUGGUCCUGUUCUUCUGGGCUUGCCUUGACUGGGAUCUCAAAAAGUAGAAACACACUGCACUUUCAAGCAUUUUCUCUCUUUCUCUUUUUAAACCUAACGCACAUCUGUGGAUGAGCAGACAUGAAGCCUCCUCCCGCCUUAUGAAUGGAGAAACUGAGGCUCAAAGCCAGUGCCCCACCCAAAUGCCAGGUGCCUCCCAGUUCCUGUGGCUCUCAGCCCUGUGCACUACUCUCACAGCUCAGUUGUGGAUGGGCGGAGGGAAGGAGAGUGAUAUGGUUUCACUAUGCCCCACCCACUAAAUCUCACCUUGAAUUGUAGCUCCUGUAAUCCCCGGGUGUAUGGGGGAAACCUGGUGGGAAGUAAUUGAAUCAUGGGGGUGGGGUUUCCCUGUGCUGUUCUUGUGAUAGUGAAUAAAUCUCAUGAGAUCUGAUGGUUUAAUAAAGAAGAGUCUGCAGAUGCCCUCUUGCCUGCUGCUGUGUAAAAUGUGCCUUUGCUCCUCCUUGCUGUCCUCCAUGAUGGUGAGGCCUCCACAGUCAGGUGCAACUGUGAGUCAAUUAAACCUUUUUCCUUUAUAAGUUA